GCAAAGUCCCUGAUUUCCCGGACUUAUAGAUGAUCUCACUUUACUAACAUCACCAAUAUUCUUAAGGAUUGGUUGGGAGGUUUUACCAAUGUGACAUCUAUUCUCCAAUCCU